rnacentral:tRNA from 3 species
GCGGAAGUGGCGAAAUGGCAGACGCACCAGACUUAGGAUCUGGCGCCGCAAGGCGUGGAGGUUCAAGUCCUCUCUUCCGCACCA